UUGACCUCGGAUCAGGCAGGGAUACCCGCUGAACUUAAGCAUAUCAAUAAGCGGAGGAAAAGAAACCAACAGGGAUUGCCUCAGUAACGGCGAGUGAAGCGGCAACAGCUCAAAUUUGAAAUCUGGCUCUUUUAGGGUCCGAGUUGUAAUUUGUAGAGGAUGCUUCGGCGUCGGCUCCGGUCUAAGUUCCUUGGAACAGGACGUCAUAGAGGGUGAGAAUCCCGUAUGUGAUCGGUUGCCCUUGCCAUGUGAAGCUCCUUCGACGAGUCGAGUUGUUUGGGAAUGCAGCUCUAAAUGGGAGGUAAAUUUCUUCUAAAGCUAAAUACUGGCCAGAGACCGAUAGCGCACAAGUAGAGUGAUCGAAAGAUGAAAAGCACUUUGGAAAGAGAGUCAAAAAGUACGUGGAAUUGUUGAAAGGGAAGCGCUUGCAACCAGACCUGCCUGCAGUUGCUCAUCCGGGCUUUUGCCCGGUGCACUCUUCUGCCGUCAGGCCAGCAUCAGUCCGGGCGGUCGGAUAAAGGCUUCGGGAAUGUAGCUCCUCUCGAGGAGUGUUAUAGCCCGUUGCGAAAUGCGGCCAGCCUGAACUGAGGUCCGCGCUCGGCUAGGAUGCUGGCGUA
rnacentral:rRNA from 1 species